rnacentral:tRNA from 1 species
GGUUCUAUGGUGUAGUGGUUAGCACUCUGGACUUUGAAUCCAGUGACCUGGGCUCGAAUCCCAGUAGGACCU